rnacentral:rRNA from 1 species
UACGUAGGGGGCAAGCGUUGUCCGGAAUCAUUGGGCGUAAAGCGCGCGUAGGCGGCCCGGUAAGUCCGCUCUGAAAGUCCAAGGCUCAACCUUGGAAUGCGGGUGGAUACUGCCGGGCUAGAGUCCGGAAGAGGCGAGUGGAAUUCCUGGUGUAGCGGUGAAAUGCGCAGAUAUCAGGAAGAACACCCGUGGCGAAGGCGGCUCUCUGGGACGGUACUGACGCUGAGACGCGAAAGCGUGGGGAGCGAACAGG